rnacentral:rRNA from 1 species
UACGUAGGGUGCGAGCGUUAAUCGGAAUUACUGGGCGUAAAGCGUGCGCAGGCGGUUUCUUAAGUCAGAUGUGAAAGCCCCGGGCUUAACCUGGGAACUGCGUUUGAAACUGGGAGACUUGAGUAUGGCAGAGGGGGGUGGAAUUCCACGUGUAGCAGUGAAAUGCGUAGAUAUGUGGAGGAACACCGAUGGCGAAGGCAGCCCCCUGGGCUAACACUGACGCUCAUGCACGAAAGCGUGGGGAGCAAACAGG